rnacentral:lncRNA from 1 species
AUGAAGAUGUAAGGGAUAAAAAUUAUUAAAUAUUUUAUAUAUUAUAUAAAUAAAUAAAAAUAAAUUAUGUAUAUAUAUAAUUUAUUCGGGUUUGGGUUCGGGUUCGGGUCGGGUUCGGGUUUGGGUCGGGUAAAUACAAAAUCCAUACCCGUAUCCAUAUCCAUCGGGUUUUUAUUUUCUAUACCCAUAACCGAAUCCAUACACGUUUAGCUCAAGUAAACCCGCCCCAUUCGGGUUUGGGUUCGGAUAAUAUUUCGGGUAUCCAUUGACAUCUCCUACAUUUAGUGAAUUUAUUCUCUAACAACCAUCUAUAUGCUUGCCAUAGUGCCAUCACAUUAAUGAUUUGAGAUCUGUCAUCCAAAAACACAGCAUCCACUAGUCUAACCGGAUUUAUCACCGUCCUCAGAUAAUCCUACAACUAGGAGCAUUUAGAAAUUACUUACUGAAGAACACAUCUAAAAUUCCUAGUACUUUUAGAAAUAUAUUUUUUCUAUAAUUAACAAAUUGCACUAAUGCAUUUGCAUUAGUAUUUAAAGAUUUCUGGAAUCAUUAAACUCCCAUCUGAUCACCAUAAAAAAUAGAGGGUUGCUAUUAUGGGCCUAUAUGCUUGGCCAAUUAUUUGGAUUGGUCAUUGUAAAUGUGGGAAUUGGGUGGUGUUACCUUCACCGGUAACUCCAUGCGUAACAACUAACAACAUGUGUAACAUCCCCGACAACUUCCCCACAAAUAAUGUUUUAUCCUCCAUUAUGCCCAACUGACUAAGCCCAUUAUUUAGAAAGGUCAGUCCAUCACUAAGGUCAGUAAUAUCUUGGCUUACAUUGUGCAUUAGAGAGCACCUGCAUUGUGCCACAGUCUUUUAGAGCACAUGUUAUCUGGCAUCGCCCAAAAGCCGUUUCGGUGGAAAAAGGUAAUAAGUUAAGGUUGAGAUUAGGAGAAAGGUGAGGAUUUGACGGGAGAAAAGCAAGGUUGAAAAGAAGAUAAAAUGGGACAUGGACAGCAACCAAAGUUGUUGCCAUGCUUCUGUCAACUCCAUUAGAUAUAAUUUCUCAGUAAGAACACUGCAAUACUGUCUAAGCUGCUGAGCGUGACAACUGAAAGUGUAGGACCAGAGUGCAAUCCGACCAAUAUUUUUUGGGAACUACAAGUGCAAUUACUUCCAAUCCACAAAUCUUUUUCUUCAAAAAGCAGUAGAGAAAACUCUCAUAAAUAUAUUUGAGGUCGCGAAAAUAUGUACCUGUUGGAGGAUUGUCCCAGGUUGUGUUGCUAGUUCCUACAAAAACAAUUAAAAGUUUAACAAGAAAUUGGUCAAGAGAUGUGAUAUCCAGCAUAAAGUGAGAAAAAGGCACAAGGAAAUAGAAGUAACCAUUAGAGAACAGUGUAGGUAAAAAAAUAGUAACGAGUAUAAUAUCUGGUAUUAAAUUUAGAGGAAUGCUUCAAUACACCGGAUAAAAUAAAUCUAGCCGUUCAUAUUUAAGGGCGAGAUUGACUUUUGCAUAGUGGUUACCUGCUCAACAGGUUACCAUUCGUAAGGGUAAUAUGGGAAAACAUUUACAAGCUAAUUACCAAAUUUGAUCAACCCUAACACAAAAUAUUUGUUCCUUGUUUAAUUUUGUUACUUAUCAAUAGAUAGUGCUAAUUUGAUAAGUAAUAAACCUUUAUAAAUUGAAUUUAAAAAAUCAAUUGAGCUUAAACUUUAUAAUUGUGUACAUUAAAUUCAAAUUUAAUUUUAAUUUAAUUUUCAGAAUGAAAAAAUUUAUGUUUAAAUGAAUAGUAUAUUUCAAUUCAAAUUGUUAAUUUGAUAUAAAAUGACACGAAAUUUCAAAUAUAUUAACUUAUUUUAAAUUGUAAAUUAUACUGUAUUUAUAAACAUAACUUUUAUUUUUAUUUAAAUUAAAGGCUUCUAUUUUAAAAUUAAAUUCAAAUUGUUCAUUCAAUAGUAAAAACAACAUUAAAGUUCAAAAAUAUUGAUCAAAAUUAAAUUUUAAAUUUAGAUUUAGUUUAUAUAUAGUUAAAAAAUAAUUUGUUAACUAUUUAAACUAUAAAUGAUUCUAUGUUUGAAAAUUAACUUUAAAUUAUAAAUCUAAUUUACAAAGAUGACAUGUUAUAGGAUGGCAUAUUCUAAAUUUACAAAGAUGGCAUGUUAUGAGAUGAAAAUUUACCAAAAUGCCCUCAUUGCAAACUCCAUGUAAUGAAAAUAUUUUUUGCCCUCGUUAAAGAGGUGACUGGUACCGAUGGCACAAGUGCCAGUCACCGUCUUUUAAAUAGAUGCAUCAUUACGUCAUUUAAAAAAUUUAAUGGUUAAGAUUUGUUUGGUGAAUGGGAGCAUUGCUCUUAAAUUUAUAAUUACACAAAAGUUUUUCCUUCAUAUAAUUGAGAUAGAUUUGAUAAUAGCUAUUGUAUAGAUGCACACCUGUUGUAGCAUUCUUUGGUCCAUAGCCAUUCCCGGCAAACAGAAAUUUAUGUGAACAUUGUCAUCAAAGCUAUAUGACAACAUGAAGCCGCCUAAAAAGUAAUGUUAGAAAGUAGUGCGUGAUAAUAAAGCAUCAGAAAUAAUGGGCAUUGCUAUGGAGGUCGAAGUAGAAAUUGUAAUGCAUUCAGUGGAUGAAGUCUCAAAAGUCAGUAUAGAAAAAUUCUACAAAGAGGGAGGAGUUAAAAUGACCUACUACAAUUUUUAUAGAAAAGCCGACUGGCUCACUGAUCAGGAUGUUCAAUUAAUAAGCAGUGGGAGUCGGUCGGUUGACUGAGCAGGUCCAUCAGUUGCCUAAACAAGUUGACUGAGUGACAAAUCUAGUGAUUUUAGCCGCCAUGACCUGGUCUAGACUUAACUAGAGUUUGAGCCAAUUUAUUUUACAUGCGCGCUUGAACUCAUUGGACUUAACCGCAACUUUUUGUUUUAGUUUCUUUAGUAAUGUUUAAUUGUUUAUUCAUCAUUAUCUAUGUAUCAGGCAUGGACAAAAAUGAAUUCAAAUUGAAUUCAAACUUCAAAACAAUUUUUUUCUAAUUCUUUAUCGAAUAAGCUUCGAAUGCCAAGUUUUCUCCAUGGUUCAAAUCCAAAUUUCAGGGAGUUAUACCCAUUUUUGUAAUGACAACUAAUUUCUAGAAAUGCCCUAUUUACUAAACUAGCCCUCUUUGCUACCUCACAUACUAAUAGUUUUAUUUAGCUUUAAUCCAAGCAGCCAUAAGUAAUCAAGCACUCACAUGAAAUGCAUUGAAAUUUCCACUUAUGAGUGAUCGCAAGGUUUAAAGCAAACCAUGCACUAGAAAGUGGAAGCACUAACCCCUUCUGCUUCCAACACACCAACUCUCCCCCGACCUUGUAUCUAUGAAUAGAGGGAUAAUAGGGUUCAUCAAGCUGAGUGAGCACAAAACAGACCAAAUACGAGAUAUUCGUGCACAAAACGGACCAAAUAGACAACCCGAAUAUAACUGAUCGGUUUUUUUUUUUUACAAUCUGAAUAGUUAUCAUCCACUCAUUGGCUUGUAAAUUUCAACCUAAAAUAUGGGCCUGUGGGUGCAAUUAUUGUGUGAUUAAAUUCUUUAGUUACUUUGUCCUAUUAAUUUGAGGUCAUGGAUGACUUAUCAAACCACAUUACUCAAUCAUGUCUAAUCCAAUUGACAACCAAUAUUCUGCUAACUUAUGAGAAACCCUUUCCAUAAAAGCACAUUGCGUUAGCUAAGGACUUUUUGAGUCUGGUCACACCGAUAAUAUAAGAGGGUAAUAUAUUCCAUCUUGGUAUACACCAACCUACAUGUAUUACUCAUUACAACCAAUAUGUGCUAAUUUAAACCCAUGAUUAAGGUCCAAAGUAUUUAUACAAUCAAACUACAAUAAAUCACACGCAAAAUAACAGUGAUGCCUCAGACCUAAGGAUCAAUUACACAACUACAGUAUCAAACAAGUCAUUGAUAAGAGAGUAGCUAUCCAUGUGACUCUUCAUAACCAGUCAUAUUCAGUGAAUUUAUUCUCUAACAACCAUCUAUAUGCUUGCCAUAGUGUCACCACAUUAAUGAUUUGAGAUUUGUCACCCAAAAACACAGCAUCCACCAGUCUAACUGGAUUUAUCACUGUCCUCAUGAUAAUCCUACAACUAGGAGCAUUUAGAAAUUACUUGCUGAAGAACACAUCUAAAAUUCCUAAUACUUUUAGAAAUAUGUUUUUUCUACCCUUAACAAAUUGCACUAACGCAUUUGCAUUAGUAUUAAAGAUUUCUGGAAUCAUUAAACUCCCAUCUGAUCACCAUAAAAAUAGAGGCUUGCUAUUAUGGGCCUACAUGCUUGGCCAAUUAUUUGGAUUGGUCAUUGCAAAUGUGGGAAUUGGGUGGUGUUGCCUUCACCGGUAACUCCAUGCGUAACAACUAACAACAUGUGUAACAUCCCCGACAACUUCCCCACAAAUAAUGUUUUAUCCUCCAUUAUGCCCAACUGACUAAGCCCAUUAUUUAGAAAGGUCGGUCCGUCACUAAGGUCAGUAAUAUCUUGGCUUACAUUGUGCAUUAGAGAGCACCUGCAUUGUGCCACACUCUUUUAGAGUACAUGUUAUCUGGCAUCACCCAAAAGCCGUUUCGGUGUAAAAAGGUAAUAAGUUAAGGUUGAGAUUAGGAGAAAGGCGAGGAUUUGACGGGAGAAAAGCAAGGUUGAAAAGAAGAUAAAAUGGGACAUGGACAGCAACCAAAGUUGUUGCCAUGCUUCUGUCAACUCCAUUAGAUAUAAUUUCUCAGUAAGAACACUGCAAUACUGUCUAAGCUGCUGAGCGUGACAACUGAAAGUGUAGGACCAGAGUGCAAUCCGACCAAUAUUU